ACCCCUAAGGCGAGGCCGAAAGGCGUAGUCGAUGGGAAACGGGUUAAUAUUCCCGUACUUGGUGUUACUGCGAAGGGGGGACGGAGAAGGCUAUGUUGGCCGGGCGACGGUUGUCCCGGUUUAAGCGUGUAGGUGUGUGUUCCAGGUAAAUCCGGUUCACUUUAACACUGAGGCGUGACGACGAGGCACUACGGUGCUGAAGCAACAAAUGCCCUGCUUCCAGGAAAAGCCUCUAAGCAUCAGGUAACAUCAAAUCGUACCCCAAACCGACACAGGUGGUCAGGUAGAGAAUACCAAGGCGCUUGAGAGAACUCGGGUGAAGGAACUAGGCAAAAUGGUGCCGUAACUUCGGGAGAAGGCACGCUGACACGUAGGUGAAGUGAUUUACUCAUGGAGCUGAAGUCAGUCGAAGAUACCAGCUGGCUGCAACUGUUUAUUAAAAACACAGCACUGUGCAAACACGAAAGUGGACGUAUACGGUGUGACGCCUGCCCGGUGCCGGAAGGUUAAUUGAUGGGGUCAGCGCAAGCGAAGCUCCUGAUCGAAGCCCCGGUAAACGGCGGCCGUAACUAUAACGGUCCUAAGGUAGCGAAAUUCCUUGUCGGGUAAGUUCCGACCUGCACGAAUGGCGUAAUGAUGGCCAGGCUGUCUCCACCCGAGACUCAGUGAAAUUGAACUCGCUGUGAAGAUGCAGUGUACCCGCGGCAAGACGGAAAGACCCCGUGAACCUUUACUAUAGCUUGACACUGAACAUUGAGCCUUGAUGUGUAGGAUAGGUGGGAGGCUUUGAAGCGUGGACGCCAGUCUGCGUGGAGCCGACCUUGAAAUACCACCCUUUAAUGUUUGAUGUUCUAACGUGGACCCGUGAUCCGGGUUGCGGACAGUGUCUGGUGGGUAGUUUGACUGGGGCGGUCUCCUCCUAAAGAGUAACGGAGGAGCACGAAGGUUGGCUAAUCCUGGUCGGACAUCAGGAGGUUAGUGCAAUGGCAUAAGCCAGCUUGACUGCGAGCGUGACGGCGCGAGCAGGUGCGAAAGCAGGUCAUAGUGAUCCGGUGGUUCUGAAUGGAAGGGCCAUCGCUCAACGGAUAAAAGGUACUCCGGGGAUAACAGGCUGAUACCGCCCAAGAGUUCAUAUCGACGGCGGUGUUUGGCACCUCGAUGUCGGCUCAUCACAUCCUGGGGCUGAAGUAGGUCCCAAGGGUAUGGCUGUUCGCCAUUUAAAGUGGUACGCGAGCUGGGUUUAGAACGUCGUGAGACAGUUCGGUCCCUAUCUGCCGUGGGCGCUGGAGAACUGAGGGGGGCUGCUCCUAGUACGAGAGGACCGGAGUGGACGCAUCACUGGUGUUCGGGUUGUCAUGCCAAUGGCACUGCCCGGUAGCUAAAUGCGGAAGAGAUAAGUGCUGAAAGCAUCUAAGCACGAAACUUGCCCCGAG
rnacentral:rRNA from 2 species